GCCGGGCGCGGUGGCGCACGCCUGUAGUCCCAGCUACUCAGGAGGCUGAGGCAGGAGAAUCGCUUUAGCCCAGGAGUUCUGGGCUGCAGUGCGCUAUGCCGAUCAGGUGUCCGCACUAAUUUCGGCAUCAAUAUGGUGACCUCCAGGGAGUGGGGGACCACCAGGUUGCCUAAGGAGGGGUGAACCAGCCCAGGUCGGAAACAGAGCAGGUCAAAACUCCCGUGCUGAUCAGUAGUGGGAUCGCGCCUGUAAUAGCCACUGUACUCCAGCCUGGGCAACACAGCGAGACCCCGUCUCU
rnacentral:SRP_RNA from 1 species